rnacentral:tRNA from 1 species
UAAAAAGGUAGUAUAAAUAUAAUGCAUUCGUUUUCGGCACGAAAAAUAGGAAAAAUCCUCCUUUUUAU